CGGGAGAACGGAGAACGGACAUUUCCGCAAUUGGAACAGCAGCUGACUUGAUGACGUCACCACAGUAGGCGGUCUUUGUUUACGCACGCAAGUAUCUCAUCUGCCAUCGCAGCUUGCUGAGGUGAAAUGCAUUCUGGGAUAUAUGUCUCUCACAAGAACAGACGAGCCUGCUUCGACGCAUGCCCGGUAAAAUGGGCGGGGCGAGUCACAUCCGGGUAUUAUGACCGUUCUCGGCCAGAUGCGGACUUGAGAAUUGGAACAGUACUCGGGCUGUGACUGAUGACGUUUCACGAGUCCACGAGAACAAAAGUCCACACAAGAACGCAUAUUGAGAAACGGCCCAUGUGUCUGUUGGACUGAUUCCAAUGCUGGAUUACUCGUGUCAUAGUGAGGAAAACACAGAACCUUCAAAUCCGACGUCUCCUCCUGCUUCGAUUUCAGACCCUCCACUGAAGAAUAACCCAUCGUUACAACCCCUCCACCAAGCGUUUAUCUUACAUCUCCCCUGCAUUAAAGCCAGCUUCUUUGAAUGCAAAGCUAAUACUUCAGGGACUUCAGCGAUGUCUGGAGAAAAUUCAAGAUGCACCAAUCAAUGAUUUUGUAUCAAUAAUGGAUCAAAUGACGAUGGGUAACGUGAAGGUUAAUUUGUGGUUCAGUCUGACCAUCCAUCUUUUUUCCAACAGUAGCAAGGGGAAGCGCCCACAGAGAACUGCCCUGCACUACCUACUCAUUGGGGCAGACAGACUCAGUUAGAGACAAAGCAGCAAUUGUUGGUGGAUGAACACCAAUUCUGAACCAAAAGAGGGGUGAGGAUCAUCUGAAAAGGAAUAACCGAACAUUGGUCACACCAACAACUUUGCUUUCAGGUUGUUAUUCAUCCCAACAUCCCGAAGCCAUUCCUUUUGCUCCAGUUCAGUGCCCUGUCUCAAGAUAUCAGAAGAUGAGUCAGUGAAAACUUCAGUCCGUCCCAGAUCUUGUCGAUACUGCUACAGGCUCUUUGAGAAUGGCGCUGGACGCUAUUGCUAUAGAAAGAGGAAUGGCAACAAGAAUGAGGUUUGCUCCUUGGUAUAACCCUCAAAUCGGAAACUUAGAGCAAACUGUGCGGAAACUUGAAAGGUUAUGGCGUUCCACCUAAUCAGAGGGAUCUAGGCUAGUUUGACAAGACAGCCUUAAAACAUAUAAGAAGGCUCUCCGUAACCCAAGAGCAUCUUAUUACUCAUCAUUAAUAGAGAAAAAAAACUACAGGUUUCUCAGCACUGUAGCCAAACUGACAGAGUCACAGCUCUGUUGAUACGUGUAUUCCUUUGGGCCACAGUAGUAACGUCUUCAUGAAUUUCUUCAAUGAUAAGAUUCUGACUAAGAAAAUGUAUGGUCUCCUGCCUUCAACCAGUGCCGACCCGUCCUAGGAUGUAGGAACCUUGGAUGCAGCAGUGGGCCCUGAUACCUACUUGGAUGGCUUCUCUUCCAUCAACCUUGAUCAACUGACUUCUACAAAUUUCAAAGUCUAAAUCUUCUACUUGAUUCCGACUAAGCUGCUUAAGGAAGUUUUUCUUUUAAUUAGCAUGUCAUAACUGGAUAUUAUGAAUCAGCAGAGGUGUAGGCUAACUACAGACCUAUCUCUAAUCUUCCCUUCCUCUCCAUCAGGAGGCUGAAGACCUCUGACCUCUCGCCAAGACCUCUCACCACACAAACAGUUUCUUUCCGUCUGUAAUUGGGCUCAUCAACAGAGCCCGAGUGCCCCACUGACUGACUGUCAUUUUGGUAAUACAUUCCUGAUUCUUAAUCCUGGUGGUUGUCCUUGUAGUGGUCCUGCCAUACACCUGCCUUACCACUCGCAAUAAUUGAAUCAUUUCUGUCAUAGGAAUUUAAUGUAUUGUGCAUAUUUCAUACUUUCAUUCUGUACACAUGACAUCCAUUGUAGUUUGUGCAUCCCGGGAGAGGGAUCCCUCCUCUAAUGUUCUCCCUCAAGCAAUGACAUCACAACCCUUAUUUAGCAACUUUUGACAAAAAAAUUAGACCUGCUACGAAUUUCCCCAGAAAAUAUGUUGGCAACACUGAAAUGAGUACAUCUGGUUACUAUGACCCUAGAUAGAGAAAAAGGUGAUGGCUGGCUUUUUUAACCACCUCCCAGUGUCUGUUCAGAACAACUCCUAAUAGGUAUGCCUUCUGACAUGUUCUAGCAUGGAAACCCCUUAAUCCUCAGUAGGCUCAAUUAGUCCGCCUUUUGAAAAUGAGAAUGUGACAAUUUACAAAGAGACAAAGCAGAGAAAAGGUGUGUGAGCAACUUGUUCAAAACCCUACAACCCUACACCCUACCUUUUUAUAGAUUGGAUUAUAUUCUGGUGGUACACACUGGAUCUGAAUGUCCAGUACCAGUCAAUGGUUUGGACACACAUUCUCAUUGAAUUGAAUUAGAAAAUGUGUCAAAGGGUUUGACUGGUACUGUACUUAAAGAGCAUAGAGCCUCAAAAAAGCAUGACAAUGCCAUCAUUAAUGGAUCCUCAACCAGCCUGUUUAAUCUGGGCCAGCAAAGGAUCAGGGUGAGGACUAAACAAAAAGACCUCUGUCCCUCUCUGGUAUUGUCAAUAUGGUGCAGUCAUCGGCGAACCAAUCAAAGGUUCAUCAACCGGCAUAUUUAAAACGGGUCCUCACAUUGCCAGCCAAGGACAACUGAUGGCUCAUUAUCCUGCAGCCGAAAAUUGCAGCCAUCCUGAACAGAAUUUCAAUUAUGCACUUCUUAAAACACUCACCGGAUUAAAGAUGUUACAAAAGGCCACACACUCCAAUCAGGCUGACUGAUUAGCAUUUCAUAAAGAGGAUGAAAGCUGUGAUUCUGAAUGCAGUAAAUCAGGGUUUUUUUCCUGCUACAUAUUGGUCCUUUGGUGCCCUCGUCUACUUUAUCCGCAUGGUGAAUUGUAUUAAUGCAGAGCAAUAUUUUUAACUUAAAUAACUAUCUGGUUAAAUCUUAAAGUGUUUAAAUGAGUACAGCUAUUUUCCUUUUCAUGAACAGUCCCCUAUCAAGGCCUAAGCACACAACAAUAAUCUGAUGUAUUGCUGCAGUGAAACUGCCUUUGUGUAUCAUUCUGUUAAUAACUAACUUUCACUCGGAAAUCUGUAGCUUUAACUUUUUUGUUUUGAUUUUGCAGCUAAUUCAGUCUCAUCUUGUACACAUCCUUGAAACAGAACCCUAAGUAUUAGUAAUAUUCAUCCAGGGACUGCAGUUAGUAACAGGGAUCACUGAUGGCUUGAUGAUGUAGUGAUGAGUGUUUGGGGAGUGAGAGAUUAACUAAAUAUGUAACCGGACAGAAAUGCUUUUGAAAAGCAACAAUGUUUAAGUCAAUUUACACUGCAUGAAAAGUGAGAUUUUCGUCCCCGUAAACGCCCUAAUUUCCGACAAUUUCCGACAAUUUGCAACCCGCGCACGUCGCGUUUGUCUGUGCCACAAAUUGUCGGAAACGAACCAUGACGUAGGUGGAGAGCUGGCGGAG
ensembl:lncRNA